ensembl:snRNA U6 U6 spliceosomal RNA
GUGCUCGCUUCAGCAGCACAUAUAUACUAAAAUUGGAAUGAUACAGAGAAGAUUAGCAUGGCCCCUGCGCAAAGGUAACACGCAAAUUCGUGAAGCAUUCCGUAUUUUU